GAUGGGAAAGUAUCUUUCUGAACCUUACAAGAACCCAAAACCUCAUAACUUCAGACCGCUUGAUGACGACCUUCCAGACAUAGUAACUACAUAUGAGAGAGAUCCUGGCAACCUGAAUUUAAAAUUAAGGCACUUGGACACAAUGCGGACCAUCAGAUCUGACAUAUACUUCAGUUCAAGGGACGCCAAGACAAGGAUGGACACAUAUAAACCUGCAGAGCCCAGAUGGGAUGCGGGGCUCAUCCUCCCUCUGCCGCCCUGGCCUCCAAAAUCAGCCUCCUACACUAGACACCGGCGAAGAAGAGGAGCACACAGCGCCUUCUUGGACCGAGUGGAAGAGAAGCUCUCAAGAUCCUGGAAAAAUAAAUCAUGAUUCUUUCUUU